rnacentral:rRNA from 1 species
CACGGGGGUUGCGAGCGUUGUCCGGAAUUACUAGGCGUAAAGGGCAGGCAGGCGGAUCCAUAAGUUUAUCGUUUAAGGCGUCGGCUUAACCUGCGUAGGGCGGUAGAUACUGUGGAUCUGGAAUGCGGUUGGGGAAGACAGAAUUCCUGGUGUAGCGGUGGAAUGCGCAGAGAUCAGGAGGAAUACCGAAGGCGAAGGCAGUCUUCCAAGCCGUUAUUGACGCUCAACUGCGAAGGUGUGGGUAUCAAACAGGAUUAGAUACCCGCGUAGUCCCUGA